rnacentral:rRNA from 1 species
UUACGGGAGGCAGCAGUAGGGAAUCUUCCACAAUGGGCGAAAGCCUGAUGGAGCAACGCCGCGUGGGUGAAGAAGGUCUUCGGAUCGUAAAACCCUGUUGUUCGAGAAGAAAGUGCGUGAGAGUAACUGUCCACGUUCGACGGUAUC